rnacentral:rRNA from 1 species
CACGUGGACAAUUUACCCUUGGGACCAGGAUAACCCCUGGGAAACUGGGGCUAAUACUGGAUGGAGCAUCGGCUGCUGGAAUGCGCGAUGCUCGAAAGCUGAGGCGCCCAAGGAUAGGUCUGCGGCUGAUUAGGUUGUUGUUGAUGUAACGGAUCAACAAGCCCGCGAUCGGUACGGGUUGUGAGAGCAAUAGCCCGGAGAUGGGUUCUGAGAAAAGAACCCAGGUCCUACGGGACGCAUCAGGCGCGAAAACUUUACAAUGUGCGAAAGCGCGAUAAGGGAACUCUGAGUGCCUCCUAAGGAGGCUGUUCAGGUGUCUAAAAAGCAUCUGGAGUAAGGGCUGGGCAAGACCGGUGCCAGCCGCCGCGGUAACACCGGCAGCUCAAGUGGUAGCCAUGCUUAUUGGGUCUAAAGCGUCCGUAGCCGGCUGAGUAAGUUCCUUGGGAAAUUUGACCGCUUAACGGUUAAGCUAUCAGGGAAUACUGCUUGGCUUGGGACCGGGAGAGGUCAGAGGUACUCCAGGGGUAGGGGUGAAAUCUAUUAAUCCUUGGGGGACCACCGGUAGCGAAGGCGUCUGACCAGACCGGGUCCGACGGUGAGGGACGAAGGCUGGGGUCGCGAACCGGAUUAGAUACCCGGGUAGUCCCAGCUGUAAACGAUGCGGGCCAGGUGUUGGCAUUACUGCGAGUGAUGUCAGUGCCAAAGGGAAGCCGUUAAGCCCGCCAUCUGGGGAGUACGGUGCGCAAGGCUGAAACUUAAAGAAAUUGGCGGGGGAGCACCACAACGGGUGGAGC